UCCGAGUUGACCCCGGCAGUCUCCCAUGAGUCCCCGGCAUAACCCGCUGGCAACAUGGGACGAGGGUUGCGCUCGUUGCGGGACUUAACCCAACAUCUCACGACACGAGCUGACGACAACCACGCACCACCUGUAUACCGACUAAAAGGGGCCGUAUCUCUACGGCUUUCCGGCAUAUGUCAAACCCAGGUAAGGUUCUUCGCGUUGCAUCGAAUUAAUCCGCAUGCUCCACCGCUUGUGCGGGCCCCCGUCAAUUCCUUUGAGUUUCACCCUUGCGGGCGUACUCCCCAGGUGGAUUACUUAACGCUUUCGCUAAGACGCCGACAGUGUAUCGCCGACAUCGAGUAAUCAUCGUUUACAGCGUGGACUAC
rnacentral:misc_RNA from 1 species